rnacentral:tRNA from 1 species
AAGUAAGAAGCAAUAUUGCAUUUAGUUUCGACCUAAAAAUUUGAUUUUUAAAAAUCCUUAUUUU